rnacentral:lncRNA from 1 species
CCCAAGUAGAAUGUUAAAAUCUUGAAGGACACAUUACCUUCAUUUUUUAUUUAUAUGCCCAACUCUGCUCUGACAAAAACCACCCAUACCCUUUCCUUUCCCUCCCCUUGCCUUCCCUUGCCUCCCCUUGCCUUCCCUUGCCUCCCCUUGCCUCCCCUUGCCUCCCCUUGCCUCCCCUUGCCUCCCCUUGCCUCCCCUUGCCUUGCCUCCCCUUGCCUCCCCUUGCCUUCCCUCCCCUUCCCUCCCCUCCCCUCCCCUCCCCUUCCCUUCCCUCCCCUCCCCUUGCCUUCCCUCCCCUUCCCUUCCCUCCCCUCCCCUUCCCUUCCCUCCCCUCCCCUUCCCUUCCCUCCCCUUCCCUUCCCUUCCCUUCCCUUCCCUUCCCUUCCCUUCCCUUCCCUUCCCUCCCCUUGCCUUCCCUCCCCUUCCCUUCCCUUCCCUCCCCUUCCCUUCCCUUCCCUUCCCUUCCCUUCCCCCCUUUCUCUCUUUCUCUCUGUUUCUCUUCUUCUCUCUCUUUCUUUCUUUCUUUCUUUCUUUCUAUCUUUCUUUCUUUCUUUCUUUCUUUCUUUCUUUCUUUCUUUCUUUCUUUCUUUCUUUCUUUCUUUCUUUCUUUCUUUCUUUCUUUCUUUCUUUCUUUCUUUCUUUCUUUCUUUCUUUCUUUCUUUCUUUCUUUCUUUCUUUCUUUCUUUCUUUCUUUCUUUCUUUCUCUCUUUCUCUCUUUCUCUCUUUCUCUCUCUCUUUCUCUCUCUCUUUCAUUCUCUUUCUUUCUUUCUUUCUUUCUUUCUUUCUUUCUUUCUCUCUUUCUCUCUUUCUCUCUUUCUUUCUUUCUCUCUUUCUCUCUUUCUCUCUUUCUUUCUUUCUUUCUCUCUUUCUCUCUCUCUCUCUUUCUUUCUUUCUUUCUUUCUUUUAAGUGACUUAUUCAAGGUCACACAGCUAGGAAGUAGCUGAGGUCUGAUUUGAAUCUAGAUCCUCCCAACUCCAGGUUUAGUGCUCUUUCCACUACACCGUCUUCCCUUCUUCCUUACAUCUUACUCCCCACUGCAUACUCUUUGUUUGAUCUAGUGACUCUGGACUCUUAGCCCUUUCUUGCACAAGACACACUCUCUCUAGAUUCUAGACAUUUUCCCUGGCUGG